rnacentral:misc_RNA from 1 species
CAGAGUUCAUGCCCUUCUGGGUAGAUCUCCACCCUUGUAAAUAUAACUGUCUGUUGCUUUGGCGGAUCGUUCCGGGCAUUAACUCGCCUGGAUAGCCGCCAGAGGACCCUUAAACUCUGAAUAUUAGUGUCGUCUGAGUACUAUAAAAUAGUUA